rnacentral:rRNA from 1 species
GAUGAACGCUGGCGGCGUGCCUAAUACACGCAAGUCGAGCGAACAGAUGAGGAGCUUGCUCCUCUGACGUUAGCGGCGGACGGGUGAGUAACACGUGGAUAACCUACCUAUAAGACUGGGAUAACUUCGGGAAACCGGAGCUAAUACCGGAUAAUAUAUUGAACCGCAGGGUUCAAUAGUGAAAUACGGUUUUUCUGUCACUUAUAGAUGGAUCCGCGCCGCAUUAGCUAGUUGGUAAGGUAACGGCUUACCAAGGCAACGAUGCGUAGCCGACCUGAGAGGGUGAUCGGCCACACUGGAACUGAGACACGGUCCAGACUCCUACGGGAGGCAGCAGUAGGGAAUCUUCCGCAAUGGGCGAAAGCCUGACGGAGCAACGCCGCGUGAGUGAUGAAGGUCUUCGGAUCGUAAAACUCUGUUAUUAGGGAAGAACAAAUGUGUAAGUAGCUAUGCACGUCUUGACGGUACCUAAUCAGAAAGCCACGGCUAACUACGUG